GACGUAGGAUGCAAGCGUUGUCCGGAAUUAUUGGGCGUAAAGAGCUCGUAGGCGGUCUGUCGCGUCUGCUGUGAAAACUCGGGGCUUAACCCCGGGCCUGCAGUGGGUACGGGCAGACUAGAGUGCGGUAGGGGAGACUGGAAUUCCUGGUGUAGCGGUGAAAUGCGCAGAUAUCAGGAGGAACACCGGUGGCGAAGGCGGGUCUCUGGGCCGUAACUGACGCUGAGGCACGAAAGCGUGGGUAGCAAACAGG
rnacentral:rRNA from 1 species